UUUCAGGUAUACAACCUAAGCCGGAAGUGCUUAGUAUGCAGGUUUCCUGCAGUACGAGGGGUGUGGUAUCCUGAGUUUUUUUUGUUGUAGGAGCUGCUGCAAAGGUGGUUGGGUGUGCUGGUGCUGUUCAUCUGCUUAAUGUUUGAAUAUAUGGCAGUAUGCAUGGUGGCUGGGUUUGGGUAGAAGGCUAUAGGAGGAUGCUCUCUAGUUCUAGGUGGUAGGGUGGGUUGGUGGCUCUGUUUGGCACUAUUAUUGGGAGUGGGUUGGGAGUUUUUUUUAUAAUAUUGGGGUUGCUGCUUUGGUUUUGUAAGUUUACUUUUAUUUGUUUUGUUUCCUCUCUUGUUCCGUUGAUCCUCAUCGACCUGUGAUGGUGUGCUAGCAUAUGAUUGUGCGUCAUUUUCGGUACCAAUUUAAUUAGGAUCAUUUAAGCCGCUUUGAUACUCUUUGCA